AAUUUUUAUAAACGACAUAAAUAAAUUAAAAGUCUUACAAAUUUUGCCAACAGAGUUUGAAUUUCAAUUAAAAUCUUCUUUCAGUUUAAGAACCGGCAGGAUUCUAAACGAGUACCUAAAUCAGUCAUCUAAAUGAGUUCAAUGCAAAACAAGGAUCGGAAGGAAGAGAUUUGAGGAGUGAUAGCAAGCAUAUACAUAUUGACCAUAAAAGUCAUUUUUGUGACCAAAAAGAAAGGGUUUUUAUUGCAACUUGUUUCGUUGUUUCAUUUUUGGAAGGACGAACUGGCUGAUUUGCAUGUCACGUAGCGGUACCAUUAUCCAAACAGAACGUGUUUACUUAGG